rnacentral:rRNA from 1 species
GACGAACGCUGGCGGCGUGCUUAACACAUGCAAGUCGAACGGAAAGGCCCUGCUUUUGUGGGGUGCUCGAGUGGCGAACGGGUGAGUAACACGUGAGUAACCUGCCCUUGACUUUGGGAUAACUUCAGGAAACUGGGGCUAAUACCGGAUAGGAGCUCCUGCUGCAUGGUGGGGGUUGGAAAGUUUCGGCUGUUGGGGAUGGACUCGCGGCUUAUCAGCUUGUUGGUGGGGUAGUGGCUUACCAAGGCUUUGACGGGUAGCCGGCCUGAGAGGGUGACCGGCCACAAUGGGACUGAGAUACGGACCAGACUCCUACGGGAGGCAGCAGUGGGGAAUAUUGCACAAUGGGCGGAAGCCUGAUGCAGCAACGCCGCGUGCGGGAUGACGGCCUUCGGGUUGUAAACCGCUUUCGCCUGUGACGAAGCGUGAGUGACGGUAAUGGGUAAAGAAGCACCGGCUAACUACGUG